rnacentral:rRNA from 1 species
GAUGAACGCUGGCGGCGUGCUUAACACAUGCAAGUCGAACGGGAAACUUUUCAUUGAAGCUUCGGCAGAUUUGGUCUGUUUCUAGUGGCGGACGGGUGAGUAACGCGUGGGUAACCUGCCUUAUACAGGGGGAUAACAACCAGAAAUGGUUGCUAAUACCGCAUAAGCGCACAGGACCGCAUGGCCCGGUGUGAAAAACUCCGGUGGUAUAAGAUGGACCCGCGUUGGAUUAGCUAGUUGGCAGGGUAACGGCCUACCAAGGCGACGAUCCAUAGCCGGCCUGGGAGGGUGAACGGCCACAUUGGGACUGAGACACGGCCCAGACUCUUACGGGAGGCAGCAGUGGGGAAUAUUGCACAAUGGGGGAAGCCUUGAUGCAGCGACGCCGCGUGAAGGAGGAAGUAUCUCGGUAUGUAAACUUCUAUCAGCAGGGAAGAUAGUGACGGUACCUGACUAAGAAGCCCCGGCUAACUACGUGCCAGCCGCCGCAGUAA